AAGUAGCAAUACUUAGUGGCAGACGGGUGAGUAACAUGUAGGUAUCUUCCCUAUGGUGAGGAAUAACACGAGGAAACUUGUGCUAAUACUUCAUAAGUCUUUACGGAGAAAGCUUUAUGCGCCAUUGGAUGAGCCUGCACUUGAUUAGUUUGUUGGUAGGGUAAUGGCCUACCAAGACUAUGAUCAAUAGCUGAUUUGAGAGGAUGAUCAGCCACAUUGGGACUGAGACACGGCCCAAACUCCUACGGGAGGCAGCAGUAGGGAAUCUUGCACAAUGGGGGAAACCCUGAUGCAGCGAUGCCGCGUGAGUGAAGAAGGCCUUUGGGUUGUAAAGCUCUUUCGUCGGGGAAGAAAAUGACUGUACCCGAAUAAGAAGGUCCGG
rnacentral:rRNA from 1 species